ensembl:lincRNA
CACAGUCUUAACUGGCCUUCUCAGAUGAAGGCAGCAGCCUCGCCGCUAUGACGGAGGCUGGGUAGGGGUGGGCUUGGAUCAGCCUAAAGGAAGAGCAACCUGCUGUCUGGGUUCUGUUUACACAGGGUUUUCUUCAAAGCACUCCACCUGUUUUUGCAAAUAACUCUUACAAGCCUUUCUGAGCAAGUGGAGAAGAGACAAGGCACACAACGGCAACAGAUGCUGUCCAGCCUGAGGAGCUGACAAGCGUCCGGCCCUGUCGGCUCAUGUGGCUGCUGGAGGCCAACACUCGCAGGGCACGCCUCCGCGAUUUGUCUGCACGAAGGAGCAUGGCACCUCGCAGAUGCUCUAUCCUCGCCUGCCUUUGGCCCCACCAGCAAGGCCAUGAAGCUCCUUCCAAGUGCCAGCCUGUGCUGCACUCCUCAACCUGGCCACACAAAGAUUCCCCAGAUGGCUCUGCAGAAUGGAAACUGGAAACUAUCCUGUGUGGAGUCUGAAUUCAGCCAAAAAAGAUGGGAUAACAGUUUUCAUCUGGAUCCAACUAUUGACUUCCCCAGGCAGUUCUCGGACAAAUAGUCUGCACAGAACAUGCCAGGUCUUGUCUGGCUAUGGACAGCACCCCUGAGGCUCUAACUAAAUGACCAUCUGACUCCGGACCUCUAAAGGUCAGAUAAUUCCCAUACACCCCUGCUCUUCAAGCAGAGGGGUGCAUCUGAAUUGGGGAGGGGAAAUGGACUCUACCUGCAGAAACUUGGGUUCCAUGAAACAGGAUCAUUACCUGUUUCUCCACCCCCAUGUUCCAACCCCCUUAAUUAAAGGCAAGGACUGCAUUUAUAAGGAGAUAGGUGAUCUCAGUUGACCGCGGACCUUCAGCUGGCAGGUUUCAGCAAAAGAUCGGCAGACACCACAUGCUGCAGAACCAAGGAGAGCAAAGAGCACUUGCUCCUCCCCAUCGUCUCCAUCCCCUUCUUCACUGCAAUGGGGAGUCCUGUUCAGUUCUUACCAGCUGGGGAACAAGGCUGCCCCUGGAAUCCAGCAGGUGCAACUCACAGCCGGGUGAGUACACCAUCUGGCCAGGCUGUAGUGAUGUUCAACAUAUACCUGCUUCUCUGUGUUUGGCUCCCUGACAGAGAGAUUGUACUCUAUUAAAAGGAUGCCACUGUCCGUCCCAGUGAGGGGGCCAGGGUGGAUCCCUUUAGGUACAGCUUGGCUGCAGCAUGAAGCAAGUGAAGCAUUUACUCACGCUAGGGUUAGAUAACUUAAAAGAAGCUGCAGUGAUCUUGCACUAGAACAUUGUUUGUGGUACACACAAACAUGGUCAUGAUACUGCUUCUGCUGUCAGUAGCUGGCACUUCCCAGUACUGUCCUGAAAACAUCGAGCUACUGAUUUAUUAAUCCUCAUUACAACUUUAUCAGUGAGUACUAAAAUUAUGCCCACUUUAUUGAUAACUGAGGCACACCAAGGUUAAGUAGCUUGUCUGGGAUCACAUGAGAAGUGAGUAGAAGAGCUGAAAAGUGAACCCCACACUACUUCCAGAGCUCCCUGUGGCUUGAACAUGAAGACAGGGCACCAAGUGGGCCUGCAGUCCUGCAGAUCAGUGCUCAGGAGGGACCCAUUAGAUUGGGCAGAAGUGGUGACAAGGGCACCAUCUGCCUAACAGGAUGGUUAGGGUAGUCUGGGAAACAGGUUCAAGUAUUUUAUGACUAAUGUUAUAGAUACAUGAUUGGGUAAAUUAAAAGCACCACAGAGCAUUCUAGACAGGUGUGGCUGGUUCACAGAGAGGGAACCUAACAUCAGCCAUAGACCCCAGAGGGGCUGGGGGAACUUCAGCUGCUUCCCUUAAGCACAAGUCCUCGUAGCAGGAGAGAGAGGCUAGAACUAAGCUCCAGGCAUGCCCAUCAUCCAGCUGCUGCUGCUGUCCAGGCCCACUGGAGUGGCUUUGGGGGAUCCUUGGCCUUCUCUCUUUCCCUCAGCCAGAGACUGGACACCUGGCCAGCAGUUUCCUCCCAGGGUCCUUUUUCUGUGCCAGGAGUUGGAGCCACAUAGAACAAAAUAAAGCUGGCUGAUACACACGUGCAGUUGUCAUGUCUCUGUGUGUAACUCAAAA